rnacentral:rRNA from 1 species
AUUGAACGCUGGCGGCAGGCCUAACACAUGCAAGUCGAACGAGUGGCGGACGGGUGAGUAAUGUCUGGGAAACUGCCUGACGGAGGGGGAUAACUACUGGAAACGGUAGCUAAUACCGCAUACCUUCCGAUGUGCCCAGAUGGGAUUGGCUAGUAGGUGGGGUAAAGGUUCAUCUAGGCGACGAUCCAUAGCUGGUCUGCGAGGAUGACCAGCCACACUGGAACUGAGACAAGGUCCAGAGUCCUACGGGAGGCAGCAGUGGGGAAUAGUGCACAAUGGGCGAAAGCCUGAUGCAGCCAUGCCGCGUGUAUGAAGAAGGCCUUCGGGUUGUAAAGUACUUUCAGCGGGGAGGCGUUACCCGCAGAAGAAGCACCGGCUAACUCCGUGCCAGCAGCCGCGGUAAUAC